rnacentral:rRNA from 1 species
UACAGAGGCCUCGAGCGUUAGGCGGAAUCACUGGGCUUAAAGCGUGUGUAGGCGGAAGAGUAAGUACCUUGUGAAAUCCCACGGCUCACCCGUGGAACCGCUGGGUAUACUGCUCUUCUUGGGCCACUCAGGGGCGACUGGAACAAGCGGUGGAGCGGUGAAAUGCGUAGAUAUCGCUUGGAACGCCGAAGGUGAAAACAGGUCGCUGGGAGUGCGCCGACGCUGAGACACGAAAGCCAGGGGAGCAAACGGG